GAUGAACGCUAGCGGCAGGCUUAACACAUGCAAGUCGAGGGGUAUAGUUCUUCGGAACUAGAGACCGGCGCACGGGUGCGUAACGCGUAUGCAAUCUACCUUUUGCAGAGGGAUAGCCCAGAGAAAUUUGGAUUAAUACCUCAUAGUAUGUGAGAAUGGCAUCAUUUUCACAUUAAAGUCACAACGGCAAAAGAUGAGCAUGCGUCCCAUUAGCUUGUUGGUGAGGUAACGGCUUACCAAGGCAACGAUGGGUAGGGGUCCUGAGAGGGAGAUCCCACACACUGGUACUGAGACACGGACCAGACUCCUACGGGAGGCAGCAGUGAGGAAUAUUGGACAAUGGGCGCAAGCCUGAUCCAGCCAUGCCGCGUGCAGGAUGACGGUCCUAUGGAUUGUAAACUGCUUUUGUACAGGAAGAAACACUGGUUCGUGAACCAGCUUGACGGUACUGUAAGAAUAAGGAUCGGCUAACUCCGUGCCAGCCGCCGCAGUAAAAC
rnacentral:rRNA from 1 species